GGUGACAUUAGCAUUAUAGUUCACUAUCAGAAAUCAGCAGGUUACUUUUAAAUAAGUUGUACAGAAUAGCAGAAUCUGUAUUUAAAUGCCAAUGAUUAUCAAACUGUCUUCCAAAAAAAAAUACUGCAUUUGUUUUAGACCACACAAUUGUCUAAUGUACUAUUAAUACUUUAAAGUCCCAACCAGGCCUAGAGAAGAGAGGGUAGUCCAUACUAUCCAAAACAUAGUAGAGUGAGAUGAUGUAAAACAAAAAACAGAAAAAAACCAUUCCAAAACAUUAUGCGGAAUCUUCUCUGGCAUAUCACAAUCUAACGACUUAGUGGAGUAGCCUUGGGCCCUGACGUCUUUGAAUGGGCUCUACAGAGAGAGAAUAGAGAGUGGACAGCAAGUGUUUUGGGCCUCUGCUGUGGGUUAGGAAAGCCCAUACUAUGACAUGCCGCUGGACAUUGUACUGCGACAUUAUUUAAGUGGAGUGGCUUAUCUGAUUCACUCUUUUUUUUGUGUGUCACAGCUGCCACCCCCUCAAUGCAAAAUUGGAUGGUGUUCAAAACUGAAGACUGUGUGAAGGCUGAAAGCUGUCCCGGACUGAGCUUCCGACAGAAAGGAUCAAUGAUGGAAUUACAGACCCUCCAAGAGGCCCUGAAAGCGGAAAUACAGGUUCAUCAGGUAAUGGGACUAUGCGUUUCUCUGCUUUUCUGCCAUUUAACCACCAUUUGUUUACUUCCUUAACCUGGAAUGUAUCAUCAGAGGUGUUUUCAGGAGGAAAGUUGAU
rnacentral:lncRNA from 1 species